UGUAUUUGUUGCCUGUUCAUAAUAAAUGUCAAAUUAACAGGAAUUCGUGUCUUUUAUGGACUUUUGUUCAUUUAGAUCAUUUCUUUUAUAUUGAUCUGAAAAAUGGACACGAUUUCUCUGAGUGAAAUGUAUUUUUAAGCCUAGGAAAUACAACAGCCACGUCUAGAAUACAAUGUGCAACAUUUGUAACAAAUUAUUUUGCAAGUUUGUUUUUCCUGUGGUGGAAAAACUGCAAACAAGGUCGGAUGCGUAUUUUAAAACCUUUCUUUUUUUUAUGUAAAGAAAAAAAAAAACCCAUUCCCAGAAACCUCCAAGUCUUGGAGCCCAGGUAAGUACCCAUGUGCCCUUCAGUAUAAAGUUUAGUAAGAUAAACACCAGGGCCCAUUCAGCAAAUGCAGCCGUCCUGUGCUCUUGUUGUGCUUUCUCCUGCUGGCUGAAAUAAUGGACGUGGGACAUUUUAUGGAAGCCGUCUUCAUAUUUGUGCAAAUAACACCGAAUUUAGCAGUUAAAUCCUACAACUUGAUAAAUACUAUGUAGUUAGAAUGUCUUCUAUACAACAAUGAUGUUCCAAGGACAAAAGGCAUAGCCACUGAGCAACAGACGCAGCUCUUAUGUCCUCACAACUGUCGCCAUUGAAGUGAUUAAGACCGUUGAUUACUGACAGGAUUCUGUGCAAAUUGCACAACACUCCCCAUAAAAUGGCUUAUGAGGGGGAAAACGGUGACUACAGUGCAUUUAGCAGUAUCAUUAUGUUUUUCACAGAGCUACGCGAGGGCCUGCCUGGUGGAAUGGCGUUGCAAGUAUUUCUAGUCCUAUCAGCCGCAUUGUUAUUGACGUGGUGCCCAUUGGAGAUUUACUCGGAGCAAGUGCAGCCAUUAUUAAAGUCGCCAGUGUGGUAGGACGGCCACGUGUUUGUUUCAAUAUAAAAUGAGACGGAUCUGUGGAUCUCUUUGUGGGCUGCUGCCUUUCUGCCUGUGCUCUGAAGUGUUAUAAAAUGGACGCUGAGUCAGGCCAAAGCCAUGCUGCUUACACAUACACACAUACUGGAAAUAUGCACUGCAGGCGGGGAGGGCGCGCACAUUCCUGUCAGAGACAGCCAUUAACCCUUUGGAAUCCAUUACCUAAACCUGUUUUUGACUCCGAACGUAGAGCUAAUGCUGCUGACAGGAGAGCUGGUUUGGCCUAGCUUCAUUAUUUAUUGUUGGUGUGCAGCCAAUAUAAUUUACAAGGGUGACUCAUGGAUGCCGUUUUUAUUGCAUUGAGUGCGGCUGAAUUUAUGUACUUGACUGAAAAGGAAUCCAGAAGAAAGCCGGUUUAGUCAGUGGAGGUGACACUGCACAUGGAGAAGAGGUAGGCAGGAGAAAUCAUGAAAUGGGAUAGGUUGCUUUCUGUGGCAGAUAUUGUAAUCAUGCUCCAGUCACCUGGAAAGUGAGCUUAUAGUGGGGUUGCCACCUUUUCCUGGAAAAAAAUACUUCCUAUAUAUUUAUCCUUUUUCCCUAUUAAUAACAUUGGGAUCAACCAUCAUUUUUACUGGUCAGGCCUGUAAAAUACCAGACAGGUGGCAACCCUAGGGUCAAUUGGCCAUAAGCAGCAUUCUCUGGUAGUGCAAUCACUGGUCAGUCUGAACUUCAGCUCUGCUUGGUUGGCUCCAGUUUGCUUGGAAAAUGACCACCAUAUCAGUAUAUCAUGCUCUUAAUUUCCCUGUGAUCGCUUGAAUGGUGUGCACCGUCCAGGGUAAGUUGGUCGGAACAGUUUGUAUUUAGGCUGUGCUGAAUUCCUGCAGGUCACAGUGAAACUCUAGUUUCAUUUAGCUUUUAAGAGUGUAACCUAAUCCUUCAGCUCCAGAAAGAUAAACCCGUUCUACUGGUUUGUGAUCUUGUAUCUUAAAGGGCAAGUGGCAUCCUGGUAUAAAAUUUAUUUUUAUACAGUUUUAUAGUCCAGUGUACUUAUCCUGCACUAGUAUCUUUCUUUUUAAAAGAAGGUCAUAUAUCCCUCAGGCUUGAAUUAAAUAGGCCGUGCUAGUCAUUUAAAGAGGCUCUUCAGCACUAACUUGUGUUGUAGCUUAAGACAUAAUAUGAGGUGCAGCUCGUGAUACACUGGAAGGUUAUUUCCCACAUCGCUGUUGAUAUUCUAGUAGACUGGUGGCUCUCCCAGGAUUUAGGAUUUAUAAUCUCUAAAGAAUACCCCAUAGUGUGAUUUUAUUUAUUUUUUUAUUCUGGGCAACAUAUGAGAAGAACCACAUUGUGGCACUCACAAGCAAACGUUGCUGAAUACCGCUCCUAUGCCUGCUCUGGGAACUGGGUUUCGUUUGGCUUACUUCCAUGGGCAUUCGACCAGCUCUUACAAAGUCACCCUGACAUUUGCCUUAAAAAGGGGCUUCGUUUAGCCAUUGUUUUUUCCAUGUAUGGCUUUCUUUGCUUAGCAAAUAACUGAAACCUUUGAUUAGAAUCAUUUGGCCAAGAGAUUGCCAAGUUGUUUAGAGACUAAAAAUAUGCAAUGGUUUUAUAAGAUUUUAAAAUUAUUUUUAAUGUUGAAACUGUUUAAUUUUUUGUGAUCUGUUUUUGCACUCAUUUAUAGUAUGUGGCAGCAGAUUGGUUGGUUACUGGGCAGGUUUUGCUGGAUCAGCAUGCUUACAGUGUGACAUGUCACCUGCUUUGACCUUUACUAUUGACUAAAAUUUGGACGCCUUUGCAACUGCGUAGCUUUAGUCAAAUUCCAUGGCACUAACAACUUUAAUUAUUUUGAAAUUGAAAUCGUUCAGUGUCUGUGUGUUUAUAACAUGUGCUUUAAUACACUGUAGUGUGACUUUACGGAAAGGGACUGUGCAUACAUUCCCUAAAGAAAACAUUUUCCAUCUUCAUCUCUUUCCUUCAGUUACAGCAUUUUUAUGUUAUGAUAAAUGUUUCCCCUGAAGUCUUUUAAUUCCCUUGAUAGGUUUUUUUCUAUUUCCACCAUGCAGCUAAAUAUUGAUGUGCUUUGCUGGAUAAUGCACAACUGUAUAAUCAUUUAUAGUGGUGCUGCUGUGCAAGAAAGCUAGUAUUGUAUAUUUGUUCAGGUAACUGGGACUUUGAGAAGUCAGGGCAGAUUCCACUGAAGCAAUGUGUUCAUUUUAGACUUUGCAUAGACAGAACAGGUGGUUUGUCCCAUGUUAACUCUGACAGCUGACAAAAUGUUUACCCACCUGUCCUACUGUUACCAGCUUCACGGUCGCUUUCUUUGCCAUAUAAUGCUGUUGAGCAGUAAAUAUCCUUCAUGAUUCUUCUUUUGAGGCCUUAAAUUUAUUUUUACAGAGUUAUAUCCAGGUACUUAAAAAUAUUAGCUCUGUCUGUUUUAGCUUCGGACAGGCUAAGCCAGUAUGAGGCUGAUAUAGCUAUUCCUGCAUAUACUUAUUCAAAUUACUUUUGUUUGUACCAGACUAUUAAGAGUAGUAUUGUAUGUGUAACAAUGUCUUAUCCUUUUGUAGGUUUGCUUUGCUUCAAAUCCUAAGGACUAAAUCACAUGGAUUUUUUUUUUUUUUU